AUACAGAGGGCUCGAGCGUUGAUCGGAAUCAUUGGGCUUAAAGGGUACGUAGGCGGGCUUGAAAGUAUCUUGUGAAAUCCCACGGCUCAACUGUGGAACUGCGAGGUAAACUUCAAGUCUUGAGAUCGGUAGAGGUUGUCGGAACAAUAGGUGGAGCGGUGAAAUGCGUAGAUAUCUAUUGGAACGCCAAAGGAGAAGGCAGACAACUGGGCCGAAUCUGACGCUGAGGUACGAAAGCGUGGGUAGCGAACGGGAUUAGAAACCCUAGUAGUCC
rnacentral:rRNA from 1 species